AGAAGGGAUGUCACCCUUCAGGUCUGGUUAGUCAACCACCUUUCAUCAGCACAACAUUUAUUUAUUUCCUGUUACUGAAAUAAAACAUAAAGCAUGCAUGUUCAAUAAUUCUCCUUUAACACUGUGCUAGAGUAACUGAACUUUUAUGGUGAUAAACAGUGAUGCAAAAUUAAUAUGGUGGGACCCAAUGUGAAAAAAAAAAGUGGUCUCAUAAUAGAUUAUAGUGCAUGCAUAUAUAUGUUCUUAUGCUACAGGCAGUGCUACUUAAGCACGUAUUGCUUAGGGCUAAAUUCUGUCAUCUUUUCACAGCUUCCUAUUCUUUAAGUUGUCUCAUCAUGUAGGGUCACAGAGUCUGACACAGAGCAAGUAGAAGUGAUGAAUUAUGAGUUUCCUUAUCAUGAUUGUCCAGAGCCUUCCAAGUUGUCACUUCAAAUUCAUCCCUUAGAGCUGGUGUGUGACAGAAAGGUCCACUACUGUACAUCAGAUUUCCUUCAGCUAUGUCUGGAUGAAGCUAUGUCUACACGGAGGACAGAAGCCUCUGAAGAAACUGCUAUGUGGGAUAACAUAAUGGGAAUAUCUUCCUUCUAUCAAAGCUCCAGGUAUUUCAUUCCGUAUUCCAGUAGAAGUGUAUUUCACAUUUUUUGGAAGAUUUUCCGAGCAUCCUUGAAUCUCAUCCUACAAUAA
rnacentral:lncRNA from 1 species